AGCGAACGCUGGCGGCGUGCUUAACACAUGCAAGUCGAGCGAGAAAGGGGGCUUCGGCCCCUGAGUACAGCGGCGAACGGGUGCGUAAUGCAUGAGCAAUCUACCCUUGAGGCGGGAAUAACCCAGCGAAAGUUGGGCUAAUACCGGAUAAGACCACAAGAGGAGACCCUAGAGGCUAAAGGCAGCUCUCUUUUGGGGGCGGCCCUUUGAGGAGGAGCUCAUGUCCUAUCAGCUAGUUGGUAGGGUAACGGCCUACCAAGGCGAAGACGGGUAGCUGGUCUUAGAGGAUGAUCAGCCACACGGGGACUGAGACACGGCCCCGACUCCUACGGGAGGCAGCAGUGGGGAAUAUUGGGCAAUGGGGGAAACCCUGACCCAGCGACGCCGCGUGGGUGAUGAGGGCCUUC
rnacentral:rRNA from 1 species